AUAGGGGAAGGCUGGGCAAAGUGAAUACCCCGGGCAAAGCGAAUACUCCCCACUAUUCCUAAAAUAUUAGAUGUUAAUUCAACACACCACUACUGUUACGUCGGGCCAUCUUGGAUUAAUACGCGGCAAACAUAGAAACGAGAGGCCGCGUCGUGUCCCUUCCGCGGAGUGGAGAUUUGUGUUUUCGUAAAUAAAAGAUUGAUUUUAAGCGAUGAUGAAUAAAUAUAAAAAAACUGUUUUCACCGAUGAUUAGGAAAAUAUAUAUAAAAGAAGACGGUAAACUAAUUGAAAAUUGGAUUCGAUGUAACAUUUGUCAACAAUGGUGUCACGAAGAUUGUUAACUGCUUUUGAUGGCACAUAAGGGUAUACCUGUGACAAUUGUCAAUCGUAAUUUUAUAAUUUUAUGGUCAAUAAAAGUUAUUUGUUUCAGUUAAUCAAAGUUAUUUCUAUAUUUUCAGAGUCUGAUUAUGGGUAUUCACUUUGCCCAAGUGCUGUAUCCGCUUUACCCGGGGUACCGGGCAAAGCGAAUACAAUCUUACUUUUUUUUAUUUUAACUGCAGUUGAUUAUUGUUUAAAUAUUCUUGGUUACUGAUGUUCGUAUUUGUAAGAGCAAUAAAUAAAGAUUGAUUUGUGAU
rnacentral:lncRNA from 1 species